UACGUAGGGACCAAGCGUUGUUCGGAUUUACUGGGCGUAAAGGGCGCGUAGGCGGCGCGGUAAGUCGGGUGUGAAAUCUCGGGGCUUAACUCCGAAACUGCAUUCGAUACUGCCGUGCUUGAGGACUGGAGAGGAGACUGGAAUUUACGGUGUAGCGGUGAAAUGCGUAGAUAUCGUAAGGAAGACCAGUGGCGAAGGCGGGUCUCUGGAACGCAACUGACGCUGAGACGCGAAAGCGUGGGGAGCAAACAGG
rnacentral:rRNA from 1 species